rnacentral:lncRNA from 1 species
AAGAGGAGCGUCUGUGUCAUCAGAAAAGGCAAAGAGGACAUUUUGCAUGCAAAGUUUAUGGAUGGCUUGUUCUGUAUAACUUAUGACGACAAUGGUGCUGUUGUGUCUAAUGCUGAUUCUUGUUGUGUUGCACAAACUAACAAAGUUCUUCAUGCAGGAUGCAUUCAUGAUGCACACAGAAGAUUUUGUCACAUGUCUUGGCAGGCACUGGCCAAGAUGCCAGAGAUGGUUGAGGGUUUGAACAUCAAACCCUGUAAGUUUCACAUGAAAUGUGUAUCUUGUGCAGAGAACAAGGUGAAGGUUGCUCCAAAAGGCAAGGAGUCUAGCAGGCAGGCUUCCAAACCCUACCAGCUAGUGCACGCAGACCUGGUUGGUCCACUUGCGCCCUCUUUGGGUGGAGCAAGGUACUUCAUGGUUCUAAUUGAUUCUUUUUCCAGGUACAUUCAUGUGUUUAUGCUCGAGCAGAAAUCGCAAGCGUUUCCUAAGUUCAAGGCAUUCUGUGCUUGGUUGGAGAAUGUUCACGGUAAACGUAUUGGCUGUCUGUUUACUGAUCGAGGCGGGAGUUCACUUCUCAGCAGUUUGAAGCUUUCCUGACUGAGAAGGGAAUCCAGCAUGACUUGUCAACGCCUAGAUCGCCAUGGAUGAAUGGGCUUGCGGAGCGAGCAAAUCAAACGUUGCUGCAAGGAAUGAAAACAUUGUUGCAUGAUGCCAAUCUCCUGAUAAGUAUUGGGGGAGGCUCUGUCGAAUUUUGCUUACACUUAUAAUCGCAGAUUGUCAUCACCUAUUGGUUGUACCCCUAUGAGAAGAUGUUUGGUAAGAAACCCAACAUCAAACACAUGAGAAUCUUUGGUUCUGACAUGUGGGUACACACCCCACAGAGCAACAAGCUUGGGAAGCGUGGGGCACAUGGUUUGUUCAUGGGGUACGAAAAGGUGCAUACAGGGUAUGGAUGACCAACUCUAAGUCCAUUAAGUUCACAAAGAGUGUUGAGUACAAUCCUAAGUGGGGGGAAAAUGUGGGAAUUUUCCAGAGUUACCCAGAGGAGGAUGAAGGUGAUGUCAAAGAAGCAGCUAAAGCUGAGGAAGCUGCUGAGGAUGAUGAUGACGAUGAUGAUCAGAGUUCGGAUUCCAGUUCAGUGGGCGGCGCUGCUGCUGGUGUCAGUGACAGUGAUGACACAGCAGACUACAAGAGCGCAAAGGCCUCAGUCAGACCAUCUGAUGCGUCUGACAAUGAACUGGAAGAACCACUGUUCACCAUUGGUCACUUUUCUCCUAAGAAGGAGGAGAUGAGUCCAGAAGACUUGCGUCUAGUACGCAGAUCUGAAAGAGCCACAAAGGGCAGACCUCCAAAGAGAUUUGCUGAUGAGUUUGCUAAGACAGCAACUGCUGUUCUUAGUAGCUCAGAGAAGGUGUGGGAACCUUCAAGCUUCAAAGAGGUUCAGGAGUUAACCUCUAAAGAUGCUGAGCCUUGGCUUAAUGCCAUGAAGGCUGAAGUUGAUUCCUUGAAUAGGAACCAAACUUGGGAACUGGUACCGGUAGUCCCAGGAAUGAGACUGGUUGGCAGCAAAUGGGUCUUCAAGGCCAAGACAGACCAGAAUGGCAAGGUUGUCAGACACAAAGCCAGAUUGGUUGCCAGAGGUUUUUCACAGGUACCAGGACAGGAUUACCACGAGACCUACUCACCCACCGUCAAAUAUGAGAGCAUUCGGCUGAUGCUCAAGAUAGCUGCAGAGGAGAAACUGCAUGUUUCCCAUCAUGACAUUAAUACAGCUUUUUGUACGGGAUUUUGGAGGAGGAGCUGUUUAUGCUUCCACCUGAUGGGAUGCAGAUACAGAAGGGAAUGGUCUGUAAACUGCGGAAAUCCUUAUAUGGUCUCAAGCAGAGUGCCAGGUGUUGGAACACGAAACUCACUGAGACGUUGCUUUCUCUAGGUUUUCACCAGGGCAAAGCUGAUCCAUGUGUGUUUGUCAAGGAGGAGGGGCAAAACAAACUGUAUUGUUUAUGUUUUGUUGAUGAUCUUCUGAUGUUUUGGAAGAAUCAGGCUUUGUACCAAAGCACCCUAGCUCAGCUGAAGGAGCACUUUGACAUGAAGGAUCUUGGUGAGGUAUCCAACUAUCUUUCUCUGCAGGUGGAGAGGGACCAAGCAGGUAAUUUUCUGGUACACCAAACACAGAAAAUUGCUGAUGUAUUAACCAGGUUGAAUUUGGUUGAUGCAAACCCAGCAGACACACCGAUGGUGACAGGUUACCAGGUAGACAGUACUGCUGAAGCGUUUUCUGACACAACGCUGUACAGAUGCAUUCUAGGCAAGUUGAAUUUCAUUGCUAGAUGCUCAAGACCUGACAUAGCUGUAAGCUGUAACCUGCUUAGCAGACAUGCUAACAAUCCUACUGUUCAGGAUUGGAAAGCUCUGAAGCGCAUAGCCCGCUAUUUGAAAGGGACUUUGCACUACAGGCUGAGGUUCACCAGUCAGAAGACUGGAGGUCUUGAAAUCUUUGCAGAUGCAAGUUUUGGAAGUGACACCACGGAUGGUACAAGCACUUCUGGAGUAUGCUACAUGUACAACCACUGCCUGUUUGACUGGUUGUGCAAGAAGCAGACGACAGUGAGCCUAAGUUCCUGUGAAGCAGAACUCAAUGCUCUGUCAUUUUCACUCAUGGAUUGUGAAUGGUUGAUGCAACUGUUUAAGGACAUCAGAGUUUCUGUGAAAUGUCCUGUACAAGUGUAUCAAGACAAUAGAUCGUGUUUGGCUUUGCUGAACUCGGAGAGUUGCAAGCAAAGGACCAAGUACUUGCAGAUUAAGCUACAUCGUGCAAGAGAGUGUAUUCAGAAAGGACUCAUUCAGGUGUCCUACAUGCCAGGAAAUGAAAUUCCUGCUGAUCUGUUGUCUAAGGUUGUUAACAGAGAACAACUUAAGGUUUAUGUACAAAGGUUGCAAUUGGGUUGAACCACAGGUACUACAGGUUACACGGAAAGGGGGAGGAUGUUAGGAUAUUUCCGUUCCACCUUAAAAGGGAGCAGGCUUUGUGAGUCAGAGUCUGCGUAUUUCCUGUUCACAGGAUGUUUAUGUUUUCUGUUGCUUUCGUUUUCUCUCUGGUGUCGCAGACACUAAAGCAGGCAGUCAUGUUUUUCUGUGUUCUGAUCAACGCUGAAUAAACUUGUAAAUAAUGCUCUCCUGAGUGCAACUUUUGGCUGUGCUAAUUGCUGAUAGAGUGUGCAUGAGCUCUGGAAUGUGGCAAGAUAUUUUCUAGAAACUCAUGUCGCUGCGUGCCUACGGGAGGUCGAUGGAUCGUCCGGCAGACGGCUUGGGGGCCUUGAUGGACUUUAUCUCCCUGGCAGUAUCCCAACAGUAAAUGGCUUGGGAUCUUCAGUCAGAGUCGCCAAGGCAGCCUUUCUGUUCCGUUUUAUGUGGUAGUCUUGAAGAGACCUGUUAUCUUUUUAAAGUCUAGUUUAGGGAAAGCUGAAGAUUCUCUUUUUAAAUUUAUUUUUAAUGCUUUUAUUAACUUAUUAUACGAACACCAACACAGACGUCACUCACAAGACAAGCAUACAAAAAGAUAUAGCUACACACAUAGAACAAACAAUACACAUACACCCCUAUUUUAAUUCUUAUUCAUUUCUAUUUGACUUCCUUCCCCCUCAAUGCUGGUCCGGUUGUAUACUGUCAUUCCUUGUGUUGCGUCAGCUUCAUGUUGCGUCCUUUCGCAUUACGUCCCGCGGCAACCCGGAAGUACUAGAACGGGUUAUUUCCGGGUUUCACCACUUGCACAUGCGCAGAAGCAUUAAACCAUGCUUUGCACAUGUGCAGAAGUGCCAAAUCGCGCCACACGCCUGCACAGACACAACGCUUCGAGUUACGGGCAUUUCCCAUUACAGACAGGUCUCCGGAAUGGAUCCUGUCCAUAACACGAGGUACCACUGUAUUUAAUAAACUGUUUCUUUCUCAAUUCCUCUUCUCUAUUUUCCCUCUAUAACUUACAUUUUUACAUCAUAUCUUAUUUUGUGGAAAUUAGUCCCGACAAGUCCAAGUAUUAAUUUGAGGGCACUGCUUUUUCAAGUAUUCACUGUAUUUUCCCCAUUCUUUUUGAAAUUUUCGUUUGGAUUGGUCUCUAAUUGCCUCUGUAGUUUAGCCAAUUCUAAAUAAUCAAAUAACUUAUCUUGACAUUCUUUUUGUUGUUGCUGGGAUUGUUUCAUUUUUCCAUUUUUUGGCAAUUCGAAUUCUUGCUGCUGCUGUCGCAUAAAGAAAAAUUCCCUUAUUUUCCUUUGCAAUAUCUGGUUCUAAUAUUCCCAAUAAAAAGGCUU